rnacentral:rRNA from 1 species
UCCCAGACUCCUACGGGAGGCAGCAGUGGGGGAUAUUGGACAAUGGGGGGAACCCUGAUCCAGCGACGCCGCGUGAGUGAAGAAGUAUUUCGGUAUGUAAAGCUCUGUCAGCAGGGAAGAAAGAAAUGACGGUACCUGACCAAGAAGCCCCGGCUAACUACGUGCCAGCAGCCGCGGUAAUACGUAGGGGGCAAGCGUUAUCCGGAUUUACUGGGUGUAAAGGGAGCGUAGACGGUUAUGUAAGUCUGGAGUGAAAGCCCGGGGCCCAACCCCGGGACUGCUUUGGAAACUGUGUAACUGGAGUACAGGAGGGGCAGGCGGAAUUCCUGGUGUAGCGGUGAAAUGCGUAGAUAUCAGGAGGAACACCGGCGGCGAAGGCGGCUUACUGGACUGUAACUGACACUGAGGCUCGAAAGCGUGGGGAGCAAACAGGAUUAGAUACCCUCGUA